rnacentral:rRNA from 1 species
CCUACGGGAGGCAGCAGUGAGGAAUAUUGGACAAUGGGCGCAAGCCUGAUCCAGCCAUGCCGCGUGCAGGAAGACGCAUCUAUGGUGUGUAAACUGCUUUUGUACGGGAAGAAACACUCCUACGUGUAGGAGCUUGACGGUACCGUAAGAAUAAGGAUCGGCUAACUCCGUGCCAGCAGCCGCGGUAAUACGGAGGAUCCAAGCGUUAUCCGGAAUCAUUGGGUUUAAAGGGUCCGUAGGCGGUUUAGUAAGUCAGUGGUGAAAGCCCAUCGCUCAACGAUGGGACGGCCAUUGAUACUGCUAGACUUGAAUUAUUAGGAAGUAACUAGAAUAUGUAGUGUAGCGGUGAAAUGCUUAGAUAUUACAUGGAAUACCAAUUGCGAAGGCAGGUUACUACUAAUGGAUUGACGCUGAUGGACGAAAGCGUGGGGAGCGAACAGGAUUAGAUACCCUGGUAGUCCACGCCGUAAACGAUGGAUACUAGCUGUUCGGAGCAAUCUGAGUGGCUAAGCGAAAGUGAUAAGUAUCCCACCUGGGGAGUACGUUCGCAAGAAUGAAACUCAAAUGAAAUUGACGG